GGAUUAGAUACCCUGGUAGUCCACGCAGUAAACGAUGAUAACUCGUUGUCGGCGAUACACAGUCGGUGACUAAGCGAAAGCGAUAAGUUAUCCACCUGGGGAGUACGUUCGCAAGAAUGAAACUCAAAGGAAUUGACGGGGGCCCGCACAAGCGGAGGAACAUGUGGUUUAAUUCGAUGAUACGCGAGGAACCUUACCCGGGCUUGAAAGUUAGUGAUCGACCAAGAGAUUGGUUUUCCCUUCGGGGCACGAAACUAGGUGCUGCAUGGUUGUCGUCAGCUCGUGCCG
rnacentral:rRNA from 1 species